UAUUAUCUUACAGCCUAGCGGCCUAAUUUUACAGCUGGUCGACGUUCGUCCAGUUCAAUGACUAAAGGUUGCUAUCAACAAACCGUCAAUUCAGUGUCUUGCCUCUGGUUUGAGUCAUCGGUAAUAAAAAAUGGCAUUGUUGCCGAUGGUUAGGUGUGUUCGUGUUAAAUUACCGCCUUGUCCAAACAAAGAAAUCGGCAUGAUUUUGUGUGUUGUUUGUCGUAGGAAAAACGCAGGGAGGUGAAGUUUACGAUGUACUAACUGUUAUUAAAAGUUAACAACAACAAAACGAUUUCAGGUUCGCACUUUAGCGUGGAAACGCAUGAUUGAAGCAUGCGAAUGUUACUUUACAGGCAGUGGCAGCAAGAACGGCGACGAAACAGUUUACCACGACACCCAUGUAACUGCCCAUACGCUAGUACCAUCCUGCCCCCGGCAGUCCGCAUGAACACCCAGCGCGUCCCUCCAUCCUUCGAGUUAGUCCAUACAUGAAGCGACCAACCGCAGUUUUUCUCACUUUGUUUCAUCCAACAGCCAACAUACUUCUUUGCCUUCAUCUCGUCCUUCUGCUGCUUCGUUUUAUGCCGAACGACCAAUAAAACCUUGUUCCUUUUUAUUCGCACAUUUAGCACACCCUAAUAUAGGUUUACUGCGUGUCUAUGUGCGUACUUUGUCCACGCUGCCCGAUGCUGUACCCCAUGCUGCGUGUGUAUGGCACCCAAUCAUCAAUAUAUCGCCAUCGGUCUGAAAUCGUUACGCAACUGGCGAAUAGAAGAAAUGGACGACAACAUGACGAGGCAAUGAAGGGAAUGCUUGCGACGCGAUUAUAUCCGGAGGUAGCGACAUGCGUCUAGGGGAAGAGAGGAGAGCGGCUAGAGAACUGCCGGGCUGAUUUAUGAGGCGAGGCACAACUAGCGCUUUGAAAAAUUGGACCCAAAGGGAGGAACGGCAGCUGCCGAUAGAAUAUUCAAACGAGUGCUUGCUGACGAUACCGAGAUAUCAUCUCUCGACUCGCCGCGGUCGGGACCUGCCCAGAUUAUAGAGAUCGUUGUGUUCGUUCAUCUCAAGUUCAGCGCCAUUGAGAUGCUGUCCAUAAUCGGAGAAACAGCUACCCAGUGAAUGUAACACUACAGCGUUUGAGGAGUUUGCCUCCUGGAGCUUGACGAUCGAGUUCUUGAUCCAUGCGCUCGCCACCGAGCUGGCUAGUGACUCCCCAAUAGUUCCUCUGUGUAUAUCAUAGAUACAUAAAAUCUAUAUUUAUGUAUUAGGAUGUUACA